GUGCUCACUUCAGCAGCACUUAUACUAAAAUUGGAAUGAUACAGAGAUUAGCAUGGCCCUGCACAACAAUGACAAGCAAGAAUUUAGAAAAUCAGGCCUCGAAA
ensembl:snRNA U6 U6 spliceosomal RNA